rnacentral:rRNA from 1 species
CAGCCGCCGCGGUAACACAGAGGGUGCAAGCGUUAAUCGGAAUUACUGGGCGUAAAGCGCGCGUAGGUGGUUUGUUAAGUUGGAUGUGAAAGCCCCGGGCUCAACCUGGGAACUGCAUCCAAAACUGGCAAGCUAGAGUACGGUAGAGGGUGAUGGAAUUUCCUGUGUAGCGGUGAAAUGCGUAGAUAUAGGAAGGAACACCAGUGGCGAAGGCGACCACCUGGACUGAUACUGACACUGAGGUGCGAAAGCGUGGGGAGCAAACAGGAUUAGAUACCCGCGUAGUCCCUGUCUCUUAUAC